GGGCUCGGGGUACGGACGGCGUGCGGCCUUUGGUCCCGGUAUCACGCGCUUCGCGGGCCGGCGAUGCUGCUCCGUGGCCGCGCACCCUGCGCUGGAACGGGAGCUCACGGGCGGGUGCGCAGAGAUCCUCCAGAACAAGAAGAGAUUGGUAAAUCUCCAUGGAAGGGGAAGGCCUGUGACCUAGCUGUGAAGACACCUGCAUCCCACAGCAGAGUGCCUGGAUUGGAUAGCUGGCUUCAGUCCCUGUUGGUAGCUGCUGCUAAUACACACCCUGUGGUAUAGCUCAGAGAGGUCUAGGAGGAACAGCUUUAAAUGUUUGUAGCCAUCUUAACAAAGAAGCUAAAAGCUGCAACAAGAUUGAACUUUCUCCUAAGCAAAUACCUUCAUUUCAGAACCUGUUUCCAUAUGAAGAGACUGGGAUUGAAAACAGUUUUGUUUUGUAACUCAAAAGAUCUUAAAUUCUUUAUAUUUCCACUAAAGCCUACUUUAAAAAUUAAUAAUUCCAUUGUAUCUCAUCUGUGUCAGAUCAGGUAGUUUUUACAAAGUCAGUUAGCACUUUCCAUAUCCUUGCCUGGAAAUUUACUUAACCAAAUGCAUCAUAGUGUUGGAUAUUUUUUUUCUAUUUUCCACAUUUUGAAAGGCAAUAGCAUUACCAGUUUUCUCCCACUAUAUAGCCAUGAUCCCUUUUUGUUCAGUUUUCAAGAAUUGCACAGAUUACUCUCGACCAUAGAAAAUAUGAAGUUGCAAUGAGCUUAGAAUUCCUAGUGUUUAAUAGUUAGAUGAUGUUAUCAGUACCUAGAAGCUGUGGCUAGGGACACUAUCCUCCCAAAAUUCAGAUUCCCUACCACUCCAACCACACAAUUGGAAAUUAGAGACUUUUAAAUCACUCUUUGGGAGAAAAAAAAAUACAAAACCAACUUGUAAUAGGUAAGAGUUCGUACAUACAAGGAAUGUCUCAGAGUUCAGCCACAUCUGUCUAAAGAAUUGAAUUAAUACAGUAGCACUUCUGAAGAAGUGUGUUGAUAGGAUUGGAAGAAAAGCAAAAGACACUGAGGCAAUACAGGCACAAGCCUGGAAGUGAGAACUGCAGCCCAACAACCUCAGGCAUUCUGACUCACUAACAAAACUGUCUCACCAUGAAUUGGAUUCACAGGCUGUCUUGGGAAGAUGUCAUUAAACAUUUAUUUCAUCUGAGAACAGGUGCACCAAAUAGACUUACUGUGGUUAGGUUUCCCAUGCAGGUUAGUUUCGACUGAGAAAAUGGAUAUGGUAACAGAUAUCCUCAUUUGUAUCAGAUGAUUUUUCAUCUUAUCAUUUAAUAAAUUUUCAGUUUUAUUUAUA